rnacentral:misc_RNA from 1 species
GAUGAAGAACGUAGCGAAAUGCGAUAAGUAAUGUGAAUUGCAGAAUUCAGUGAAUCAUCGAAUCUUUGAACGCACCUUGCGCUCCUUGGUAUUCCUUGGAGCAUGCCUGUUUGAGUAUCAUGAAAUUCUCAAAGUAAAUCUUUUUGUUAAUUCAAUUAGGUUCACUUUGGAUUUGGAGGUUUUUUGCAGCUUCACACCUGCUCCUCUUUGUGCAUUAGCUGGAUCUCAGUGUUAUGCUUGUUUCCACUCGGCGUGAUAAGUUAUCUAUCGCUGAGGACACUUUUUUUUUGUUUUUUUUCUAAAAAUAAAUAAAUAACUAAGUGGCCAAGGGAAAUGCAGAUGAACCGCUUCCAAUAGUCCAUUAGCUUGGACAAAUAUAUUUUUAUGAUCUGAUCUCAAAUCAGGUAGGACUACCCGCUGAACUUAAGCAUAUCAAUAAGCGGAGGA